rnacentral:rRNA from 1 species
AGCAGCCGCGGUAAUUCCAGCUCCAAUAGCGUAUAUUAAAGUUGUUGCAGUUAAAAAGCUCGUAGUUGAAUUUCGAGAUCAAUUUGUCGGUCGUGCCUCGGUACGUACUGGCAUUAUUGAUUUCUCCCUUCUGAAGAACCGCGAUGUCAUUAAUUUGGUGUCGUGGGGAAUCAGGACUGUUACUUUGAAAAAAUUAGAGUGUUUAAAGCAGGCGCACGCUUGAAUACAUUAGCAUGGAAUAAUGAAAUAGGACGUUUGAUUCUAUUUUGUUGGUUUCUAGGAUCGACGUAAUGAUUAAUAGGGAUAGUUGGGGGCAUUAGUAUUCAAUUGUCAGAGGUGAAAUUCUUGGAUUUAUUGGAUUUAUUGAAGACUAACUACUGCGAAAGCAUUUGCCAAGGAUGUUUUCAUUAAUCAAGAACGAAAGUUAGGGGAUCGAAGACGAUCAGAUACCGUCGUAGUCUUAACCAUAAACUAUGCCGACUAGGGAUCGGAUGAUGUUAAUUUUUAAUGACU